CUGAGGGAGUGAAGAGCACGCGCUACCGGAGACAAGGAGGAGCUCCCCUGCGGGUGUUCCUCACAGGGCGCAGUUUUACUGGUAUUAAAUAUGUGAAAGUUCUGGCCAUCUAUUUUCAGUCUGGCCUGUGGUCACAGAUUUGGUACUUCUGGAUGUGGGGAUUGGAUAGAUCAUGGCUGAUCGUGAAAGUUAAGAGUUUUUGAUUCCCAAUUCCAAGGACAGACAUCAGCUCUAUAUGAUGCCUCGCUGCAUGAUAUAUUCAGAAGAAUAUGGAUUUUGGAUUCAGAACAGUGCUCAAAUCAGACCUAUUUUCUACAAAAAUAAAAAUGUAUGUGCGAACACGUAGCAUACUUCUUGGCUUCAGAUAUC